rnacentral:rRNA from 1 species
AGCUAAGAAUAUUCCGCAAUGGACGGAAGUCUGACGGAGCGACGCCGCGUGGAUGAAGAAGCGCCGAAAGGUUGUAAAGUUCUUUUGCUAGGGGAGAAUAAGUGUGGGAGGGAAUGCCUGCACGAUGACAAGGACUAGCGAAUAAGUCCCGGCCAACUACGUGCCAGCAGCCGCGGUAACACGUAGGGGGCGAGCGUUGUUCGGAAUUACUGGGCGUAAAGGGCAUGUAGGCGGCUUGGUAAGCCUGGCGUGAAAGUCUGCAGCUUAACUGUAGGGAUGCGUUGGGAACUGCUUAGCUUGAGUUACGGAGAGGGAGCUGGAAUUCCUGGUGUAGGGGUGAAAUCUGUAGAUAUCAGGAAGAACACCGAUGGCGAAGGCAAGCUUCUGGCCGACAACUGACGCUGAGGUGCGAAAGUGUGGGGAUCAAACAGGAUUAGAUACCCUGGUAGUCCACACAGUAAACGAUGUGCACGAGGUGCUGGGGCGGUAGUUUCAGUGCCGGAGCGAACGCGGUAAGUGCACCGCCUGGGGAGUAUGCUCGCAAGGGUGAAACUCAAAGGAAUUGACGGGGGCCCGCACAAGCGGUGGAGCAUGUGGUUUAAUUCGAUGGUACACGAGGAACCUUACCUGGGUUUGACAUACGGAGGGAAGUGGCAGAGAUGUCACUGCGUAGAGAUACGGCUCCGUACAGGUGCCGCAUGGCUGUCGUCAGCUCGUGCCGUGAGGUGUUGGGUUAAGUCCCGCAACGAGCGCAACCCCUACUGUCAGUUACUAACAGGUUAAGCUGAGGACUCUGGCGGAACUGCCGGUGACAAACCGGAGGAAGGUGGGGAUGACGUCAAGUCAUCAUGGCCCUUAUGUCCAGGGCUACACACGUGCUACAAUGGGCGAGACAGAGUGAAGCGAAGCCGAGAGGUGGAGCAAAUCGCAGAAAAUCGCUCUCAGUUCGGAUUGGAGUCUGAAACUCGACUCCAUGAAGGUGGAAUCGCUAGUAAUCGCGCAUCAGCAUGGCGCGGUGAAUACGUUCCCGGGCCUUGUACACACCGCCCGUCACACCAUCCGAGUGGGGGGUACCCGAAGCCGUUAGUCCAACCAGAAAUGGGGGGCGACGUCGAAGGUACGUCUUGUGAGGAGGGUG